UUUGAAGGCAACGAGUGUCGCAUUAUCUCCCACGUUCAUAAGCUUUCGGAAAGUGAGUCGUAUAUCUCCAACAACUUUUUCUCUUUUCUCCUAGCUACUUUAAUUUCUGCACCAACCAGUAACCACUUAUUCAUUUAUGAUUGGAAAUCAAAUUCAAAAUACAUAAAAAAUUGCAAGAGAGCUAGGUACUAUAUCGUUCUAGCAUUAUCGGAUGUAAAAUGUGUCAGUAUA
rnacentral:lncRNA from 1 species